UUAGGCCGGCUUUGGCCAAGUUCAGAAUGUGAAAGCCCCCGGGCUUAAACCUGGGGAAUUGCAUCUGAAACUNGCUUUGCUUGAGUCCUGGGAGGGGGUAGUGGAAUUCCCAGUGUAGCGGUGAAAUGCGUAGAUAUUGGGAGGAACACCAGCGGCGAAGGCGGCUACCUGGACAGUGACUGACGCUGAGGCGCGAAAGCUAGGGGAGCAAAUGGGAUUAGAUACCCCAGUAGUC
rnacentral:rRNA from 1 species